UUUUUUUUUUUUUUUUUUUAAACAUACCCCCACCCCAUCCAUUCCUUGUCUUGCCAAGCAAGCCCCCGGGGACAAUCCCCGGAUUUCCUUCCCCAACUGCAUGCACUCUUACUCCUCGGUGGAGCUCUGGUUCCCAUAAGCUCGAAAACAAAACUACAUCCAUCAAAUACUGUCCUCAACGGGGCAGGAAGCCGGGGAGGAGGUGGAAGCUCAAACAGCACACCUUUUCUACCCAGCAACAGGACCUGAGUGCUUCUUGCCAUGAUUUAAAGUUGAAAUUAACACCCGGAAAGAAACCAACAUUUGUUUUCCUCUUCCUGUUCCACACCCCGCCCAUCUGGAGGAAAAGAAAUGGGGGGGGGGACCACCGGAAACUAUUUACCUUUACAUAAAUAAAUUGCCAUGUAUGGUUUUUUUUUUACUAAUUCCUCUAAGGUCUGCUGCGCCUUAACCCUUCAGAGUAGUUCCAAGCAGUGCAGGUCUCGGAACAUCCUGGGGGAAAGGACCAAGUACCAAGAACACAGCGGGGGAGACGCAGGAAGAAAGUGAGGCUAACAGUUUAGGCAGAUGCUGUUGAAAACCUGCCCAGAACAUUGUCAAGAUCCAAGAAUCCACCCCAAAAAGAAAAAGCCAAACUAGUGCCAAACCUAGACAGCCCGGCAGGCUGGAGCCAAGGUUCAGAAUAGAAAUCCCAGAGCGCAUGCCCUGGGCUGCUUUGCAUUAGAUCUCUUGGGAAUCUGUUGUGGUUUGUCCCACACAACAUGGUUUCUGAAGUUCAUGAAACAUUGUCCUGCCGUAACGUGCAAACGUUCGGUAUUCUGACCAGCGUCUUUACGUGCUCAGUAGUUGUACUAGAAGGAGUGAAGACUUCAUUGAGCUUUUGAGUGGACGGGACUCCUCCUAUGCUGGCAAUCACCAGUUUGCCACUUUAUUCUACUGUGAUUCUUGGGUCUGUCUCCUAGUACCUUGGAUUUUCCUUGAGCUGCCAGUAGUUCCUUCUGCCUUUCUAGCAGACCUGCUUCUGGCAGCUCCUCUUUUUUUUUUUUUUUUUUUAAUUUAUUUGACGGACAAAGAUUACAAGUAGGCAGAGAGAAAGGAGGAAGCAGGCUCCCCCGGAGCAGAGAGCCUGAUGUGGGGCUCCAUCCCAGGACCCUGGGAUCAUGACCUGAGCCAAAGGCAAGGCUUUAACUCAGUGGGCCACCCAGGCACCCCAGCUCCUCCUCUUCUAAUGAGGUUAUGGAAACCAAGUUUGUAAGGAAGCAGGACUAAGCCGAGAGGAGGAGCUCCAAGUUCCUGGAGUCUCCAUCUUCCUGGCAACUUCUAAGCUGCCCCUCCCUUGGCAAUCCUCAGGUACGUUUUAUAGAGCCAGCUGUGCCCCUGACUUAGCUGACUCGCUGUGUGAGCUGUCCUAGCAAAGACCAUACCCAACACAUAGGGGGGACUUUCUCUGGGCCAGGUCCUGGCAAAGUACUUUGCUUUGUAUCUUGUCUCAUUUAACACAUGUUCUCUCCCGUGAGCCUAAGAGUUGGGUCCUGGGACUUAUCUCCGUUUACAAACGAGGCUUUCUCCAGCACCCGGCCUUCCACAGUGGACAGCGCUCAGUCCCGGCCGUCCGGCACCAUUUUCUGUUGAUCAGUGCUCAACAUGGAAUCCACGCUUGAAAGCCCUGCGUCAUCCACAGCCCUCCUUCAGCCUUCCCUCCCCAAUCUAAUUGUUGCUGAGCCUGUGGAACCCUGUCUUUAACACUAUGUCUCUUAGGACAAAAUCCAACUCCGUUAUGUGGUUUACAAACCCCUCCCAAAUCCAACCCUAGCUUACCCCCCUCAGCCUCUCCUCGGGCCCAGAUCCUCUGGCAAGAAACACUCAAAAUAAUUCGUCAGGGUCUUGCUCUCGGAAGAAAGCUGUCUUGCCUUGAGAGCUCUGCACCAGGGCUCUCAGGUUCUCCGCCUCUGCUGGGCUAACUCUACAAUUCCUGUCACAGCAUGGAAGCCACUUCCUCUGGGGAACCUCAGAGACCUCGUCCUUGACUUCGGUCCUCCAGCUAGGAGCUCCAGUAACACCCUCAUGUCCCCCAUCACUGCCUUUAUGCCACAGCACUAGGCUUACUU
rnacentral:lncRNA from 1 species